GGCCCAUAGCUCAGUGGUAGAGCAUCUGCCUUGCAUGCAGAAAGCCCAAAGUUCAAUUUGUGGCACCU